UGGGGAAUAUUGCUGCAAUGGGGGGAACCCUGACGCAGCCAUGCCGCGUGAAUGAAGAAGGCCUUAGGGUUGUAAAGUUCUUUCGGUAUUGAGGAAGGUUGAUGUGUUAAUAGCACAUCAAAUUGACGUUAAAUACAGAAGAAGCACCGGCUAACUCCGUGCCAGCAGCCGCGGUAAUACGGAGGGUGCGAGUGUUAAUCGGAAUAACUGGGCGUAAAGGACACGCAGGCGGUUAUUUAAGUGAGGUGUGAAAGCCCCGGGCUUAACCUGGGAAUUGCAUUUCAGACUGGGUAACUAGAGUACUUUAGGGAGGGGUAGAAUUCCACGUGUAGCGGUGAAAUGCGUAGAGAUGUGGAGGAAUACCGAAGGCGAAGGCAGCCCCUUGGGAACGUACUGACGCUCAUGUGCGAAAGCGUGGGGAGCAAACAGGAUUAGAUACCCUGGUAGUCCACGCUGUAAACGCUGUCGAUUUGGGGGUUGGGGUUUAACUCUGGCGCCCGUAGCUAACGUGAUAAAUCGACCGCCUGGGGAGUACGGCCGCAAGGUUA
rnacentral:rRNA from 1 species